GCCCCGGAGCCCUUUUGG
rnacentral:tRNA from 1 species